rnacentral:lncRNA from 1 species
ACCAUAAUACAACAUUUUUCAUUUUUCAAAUUACAUGAAUUUUAAUAUUAUCUGAUAUCAUCACUGUAUUGAUAUAGUACAUUGACUCAAGCAAAUGGUCAUGAUUUCAUGAGUUUCAUUUGCAGAGAACAAACACACAUUAAUGCAUCCCUUAUAUACAUUAUACAUCCUAAAACAUAUUAAAGUAUAUUCCUUAAAUUAACUGUGAGUUACCUUGGAUAAAAUAAUUUUACCAAGUGAAUAAGUGUGAUGUAAAUGUAGACCUAAUAUACUUUUUGCAACAGAAAGCCUAGAAUGUAGAAUAUAGAAUAUACAGCAAACACUCACGGACAUAAAUAAUUGAAACAUUUCUUUAUUUGCAUGACAAUAUUAGAGGUAUCAUAAUAUACACACAGUCCAAACUAAAUCCUCUAAACUGUUGUCAAGGAAACAGAGCUGAGGAUGGUGAAGGGAGGAGGGACCGUGUGUGUGUGUGUGUGUGUGUGUGUGUGAGGACAGUUGGAGGAGGGGUGGGGGCGCGGAGGGUGCUACUUUAUUUCCUUAUCGUAUCCGCAUUGUCGGUGUCAUCAUGGCCACCGCUGCACAGAGCUCUUAUAUAUUGGUUUUAGCGUCGUUUCGGUGUAAUUAGCUUGUAUUUUGGGCGGUCGGGUUUGUGUAGUAAGCGCGGGUUUGCGUUUAUUUACCGUUAAUUGUAUCUAUUUGAUUUUCAUUUCAUCCUUGAGCAGCUGGGGGGGAUUGUGUCUCCCCGUUCUGUAUUUUAAUGACUGGUUUCGUAUUUUGCUGCGCGAUGUACAUGGAUAAAACCAGUGUGCUCCGGGGCCCAUCCACCACCAGUCCACGGCUGCUAACUAAGAGUCUGUCCCUUGAGCCAGGCCCCUGCCUCGGAGCCCACGAGACCGCACAGCGCCUCUGCUCUGACCCUGGACCCCUGGAAACACAGCACUGCAAUGGCACAGGUGAGGAUGGACCUCAGGACGUCCCGCCUCCACCCCCAAAAACACGCCCACCUUUACCUGGGCCAAAGCCUCAAGGUACGUUUGAAGGGAUAGUUCAACCACAAAUUAAACUUCUAUCAUCAUUUACUCACCAUUAUGACACAAAAUUGGAUAUUUUGAAGAAUGUCCAAGCUUUUUGUUUCUAUACAAUUCAUAGAAACCAUGAGCAAGCUCUAAAAAGGACAAAAAGGCUACUUUUAUGCCAUAUUUCAAGUCUUCUGAAGCCGUAAAAUAGCUUUGUUUUGAGGAAUGGCGGUAAAUUUGUUGUUAUUGAUUCAAAUAUGUACAUAUGCAAAUAAGAUUCAGGAGCUACAGUACAAUUCAAAAGCUUAUGGUCGGCAAGAUUUUUUAAUAUUUUUGAAAGUCUCUUAUGUUCACCAGAGCUGCAUUAAAUUGAUCAAAAAUACAGUACAAACAGUGAAAUAUUAUUACAGUUUAAUGUAACUGUUUUUAUUUGAAUAUAUUUUAAAAUGCAAUUUAUUCUUGUGAUCAAAGCUGAAUUUUCAGCAUCAUUACUCCUUCAGUGUUACAUGAUCCUUCAGAAAUUAUUGUAUCAAUGUUGAAAACAAUGUUUUUAAAAUUUUGUAAAUGUCUAUUUUAUUACUGUUUAUUAAAUUAAUAAAUGAUUGAUUUCUUAAGUUCAUAGACAAAAAAGUUAAAAAAAAAUUUUUUUUUUGAAUGGUAGUGUAUGUUUUGUGCAUAUUUAAAUAUAUGCAAACCUUGUAACUAAAUUGGCGUCACCAUUAUUUUUAUGUUUACUGUAUUCUCUUUGACCUUAUGUAUAAUUUAAAAUAUGAUUUAUAUAUAUAUACAUUUAUGAUGGAAUCUAAUAAAAGUACCUAGUUAUUCUACCCUGUUGUUCCAGUUUGAUAUCUGUGUGUGUCUGUGAUGCGGUCAUGUGAUUGUGCACCAGUCUCACUGUAUUGAUUUGCGGAUUGAUUUUGUCUCGUUCAGUGCCCCCGAAACCUCCUCAUCUACAGCAGCAGAGCGCUCGAAGGCCACGCCCCCCGGAUAAACCCCUCCCACCUCCACCCUCCCGCCCACUCCCCGCCGAUCCCCGCCAAUCACACGCCACCUUACCGAGAGCAGAGGGAAGCUCCUCCCCCACUUGUGUCCUCUCGCUCAUCGAGAAGUUUGAGAGGUGAGAGAUCACCAUCAGUCGAGCGCUUGUCACUGGAGACGCUUUUUAGAUUAUUAUUCAUAACUACCAAUCUAUUUAUUAAUCAAUAUUUUUGACUUGUUUUCUAGCAAAAAAUAUUUAAAUAUCCUAAAAACAAUAUGUACUUGAGAAGCAGAAUUGCGUAAUAAUAUUAAGAUUUUUUUUUUUAGUAGAAUAUAGCUAGAGUUUCUUAUUUUUUACCGGAAAUCUUACUAAAUUAAGCUUUUUAUUUACUUUGGCUUUAAAU